rnacentral:precursor_RNA from 1 species
AGUAUCUAAAAGGACUUCAAGUGGAAGAUUUCGGGUCGGUGUGAGACGAUCUGCUGUUACUCGCUUGCGAAGUUGAUUUUGAUGUCUA